CCUACGGGGGGCUGCAGUGAGGAAUAUUGGUCAAUGGACGAGAGUCUGAACCAGCCAAGUAGCGUGAAGGAUGACUGCCCUAUGGGUUGUAAACUUCUUUUAUAUGGGAAUAAAAUGUUCCACGUGUGGGAUUUUGUAUGUACCAUAUGAAUAAGGAUCGGCUAACUCCGUGCCAGCAGCCGCGGUAAUACGGAGGAUCCGAGCGUUAUCCGGAUUUAUUGGGUUUAAAGGGAGCGUAGGUGGAUUGUUAAGUCAGUUGUGAAAGUUUGCGGCUCAACCGUAAAAUUGCAGUUGAAACUGGCAGUCUUGAGUACAGUAGAGGUGGGCGGAAUUCGUGGUGUAGCGGUGAAAUGCUUAGAUAUCACGAAGAACUCCGAUUGCGAAGGCAGUUCACUGGACUGCAACUGACACUGAGGCUUGAAAGUGUGGGUAUCAAACAGGAUUAGAUACCCUAGUAGUC
rnacentral:rRNA from 1 species